ensembl:lncRNA
GAAGUCGCUCAGGUUGUCUACUUGAAAGUUAUACUGUCGUGUCCGACUCCUAGCGACCCCAUGGACUGUAGUCUACCAGACUCCCCUGUCCAUGGGAUUUUCCAGACAAGAGUACUGGAGUGGGGUGCCAUUGCCUUAAGUUUAGAACAGUUUGUUAAAAUGUUAAGUGAAAAAGCUACACACCAGGUUUUAUAUGUGGAAUGAGUCUAAAGAAAACAUACGAAUAAACAAGAAGUGCUAGAAAAAUUCAGGCAAGCGAGGCAAUUCAUGUUAAUGACGCUUGCUUUCUUCUUUCCUGUGUGGGGUGCCGCACCUAGACCAGCUGACCUCAGGCGGCGGGUCAGCUCCCGGCCCCGCCCACCUCUGCACAUGCGCAUGGAGGCCCUCUACGGCCACGCCACUGCUGCUGACCCAUGCUCCUGCUGCUGCUCUGAUGGAAUGGAGUGCGGACGCAUGUGUUUCUGUCGCUGUGAAUUUUAAUGAGGUUACACUGACUUAGACCCUUAAGAGUUUCUGGGCUGGGCCUGGCCUAGCAAUGGCUCUGCACAAUUUAGUGAGUCGUAAGGAGUGCUGUCACUGUUCUCUGGGUGCUGGGCCCCAGGAGUCACAGAAGGGCUCCAUCAGCACACAGAAUGCAGAAGCGUGCGGCUAUUUAGAGCUCUCCCUGGCUCUCACCUGAUCUUCAAUGAUACGGGAAGAUUAAGUACCAGGAUCGGAAAAGAUAUGGGAGAGAACUGGUUGGAGCACACUCGAGUUCAGUAGAUGUGGAAACACGUGCCCUCAGCCAACCUAUACAGGGAGUCCCCAACACGCAAACCUUCAAGUUGUGAACUUUCAGAGAUGUGAAUGUGCUUCUGGUUCUAGCAAGGAGCCAGAACCCAUGCCAUCAACAUCAGGCAUGAGUGAAAUUGCAGUCUGCUCUCCAUCUUCUGCUGCUGACAGUCCUUCAGCUCUGCCAUCUCCCACCUGCUCUCCCUCCUCCCGUCGGUAACUUCUUGCCUGUUCACUUGAUACCAGCCCCUGUAUGCCAGCUUUUGUACUGCACUGCUGUACUUUUCAAAAUACUGGACUGUAAGAUUAAAAAUGUUUAUUUUUUGUUUAUUUUUGUGUGUGUGUGUCAUUUGUGUGAAAAGUAUAAACCUAUUACAGUACACUACUAUAUAGCCGAUUGUGUUAGUUGGGGACCUAAGCUAACUGUUGGACUUACAAACAAUUUAGACUUACGAAUGCACUCUUAGAACAGAACUUAUUUGUCUGUAGGGGACUUACUGUAGUUCAUCUUUUUCUUCCUUUUUCUCUCCCUAGGCAUUUCUCCUGGCUAGGCUGGGGCUCAUCCACACUAAGGUUUGCAGGCUCCAAUUCCAUCUGUUCAACAGGGCCCCAGUCAAAAGCCUCAUAAAACCACAGCCAGAAGCCACCCGUUCCUUCUCCAGAAUCCCAUUUUAAUGUGUCUUAUAUUUAAAAUAAAAGACCUAUGACUAGCUUCCUAUAUUUUUAGUUAGUUAUUUGGUAUAAUUUAUUCUGAAAACUCACGAAGUUCCUAAA